GCUAAUUUGACUCAACACGGGGAACCUCAUCAGGCCAGGACACCGGAAGGAUUGACAGAUUGAGAGCUCUUUCUUGAUUCGGUGGGUGGUGGUGCAUGGCCGUUCUUAGUUCGUGGAGUGAUUUGUCUGCUUAAUUGCGAUAACGAACGAGAUCCUACCCUACUAACUAGUCGAAACCGGCAUCCCCUGUGCAGCCGGCGACCAACACUCUUCUUAGAGGGACAGGCGGCUUCCAGCCGCAGGAAGUGGGGCAAUAACAGGUCUGUAAUGCCCUUAGAUGUUCUGGGCAGCACGCGCGCUACACUGAAGGGAUCAACGUGUGUUUUCCUUGCUCGAGAGGGCCGGGUAACCCGUUGAAACUCCUUCGUGCUAGGGAUUGGGGCUUGCAAUUAUUCCCCACCAACGAGGAAUGCCUAGUAAGCGGGAAUCAUUACUUCCUGCUAUAAGUCGUCCCCUA
rnacentral:rRNA from 1 species